CGAUGGAGGGGGAUAACUACUGGAAACGGUAGCUAAUACCGCAUAACGUCGCAAGACCAAAGAGGGGGACCUUGGGCCUCUUGCCAUCGGAUGUGCCCAGAUGGGAUUAGCUAGUAGGUGGGGUAACGGCUCACCUAGGCGACGAUCCCUAGCUGGUCUGAGAGGAUAACCAGCCACACUGGAACUGAGACACGGUCCAG
rnacentral:rRNA from 1 species